CCUACGGGAGGCAGCAGUAGGGAAUCUUCCGCAAUGGACGAAAGUCUGACGGAGCAACGCCGCGUGAGCGAAGAAGGUCUUCGGAUCGUAAAGCUCUGUUGUUAGGGAAGAACAAGUACCGUUCGAAUAGGGCGGUACCGUGACGGUACCUAACCAGAAAGCCACGGCUAACUACGUGCCAGCAGCCGCGGUAAU
rnacentral:rRNA from 1 species